AGAAACACAAUUGUGUUUGAUUGACUGUGUCACCAAAACCACAGAUAUAUUGGAAAUUGUCUUAUAUAUGUAAUACUUCUAUAUGGACAGUUUCUAUAAAGCUGUUCCGACUAAGAAGGAUGAUAGAAUGACAACGAUUUCUCUAUACUCCGAGGUUUCAGCUCGGUUCUGCGCAUUCUCAAGCAAGUAUAGAUAAAGUGUCGCGAACGAGAGAGAAAAUGAAUAUUGUCGGCACCGUAACGUAGGGACGUUUUUCCCAUACCAACUGUCUACUACAGUAUUACAUAUAUGAUGUUUUGUUGUUCUGUGAAAUAUUACUCACAAAACAUAUCCAACACGAUAUGUUUUGUGGCGUUACCAUUGAAAACAUUACCAAAUUAACGCACGCCACAAAACAUACCCACAUUCUGUGCUGCAUGCACUAUCUGUGAUCUUCUGUUUUGUUGUUGGUUAACGUGUUGUUUUUAAUGUAGUAACGUAUUUAGUAUAAUGGAAUAUUAAGAUUCCUCUUUAUAUUAUUAUCUUUGAUUUUGUUGAAUCAUAUUUCAAGAAAAACAUAUUUUUGUUAAGAAUAAGGAAAAAAAAACAGUAAAAUAAAUGAGUGUAGUGACGCUUUAUAAUUUUACCAGUAAAUUAAUAUGGGAAGUUAUUGGAAGUGAAAAGUCGAAUAUAAAUUGUUCAAUAUAUAAAGGAAUUUAUCUUGAUGUCUACAAUAAUAUGAAGGAAACUGACUACGAUCCUGAGACAAAAAUUUAGAGCUCUUGAUGGAAAAAUCAAAGCCGAACAUAAUGAUGAUUAUUUAUUUUAUUUUUGAAGAGCUUAGCGAUAAGAGUUUGUUAUAUGCGAAUCAAUUAUAAACUUCUACAAGAAACACAAAAAAUGGAUAAUCGCCUUUCUUUUGUCUGCACAACAACGAGUCAUCUCACAAGGCUCCACCACUGCCAGUUUAUCAUAUUUUUGUCGUUCUGGUCUUGUUGUUUUACCGUCCAGUUGGAAAUUUUGAAGCAAGAGUUUGAAUAUUUCUAAUGACAUUGUCAUCCUGAAUAUUUCGAAUCCCAUGCCAUCUGUUCGAAAGAGAUCGAGAAUGUUGUGACGAUUUUCUUUCAUUUUACCAGCAAUAUAAUUUUCAUUUUCAUAAAAGUUUCUUCUAAUUGGUGACAUCUUUUGAUAUGAAGCAAGGCUCACGAUUUUUUCUGCAUUCAAAUGCCUGUAAUCCAUCAAGACCUGACCGUUGCCUUUCAAGAAGAGUGGGACAAUAUGGCUGACCAUGUUAGCGAUAACUUGAUUCGGCGGAUGCCGAGACGCGUUGGCCAGUUGAUUGCAAGAAAAGGCGGUCAUACCAACUAUUAAUUUGUUUUUUUUUACAUUAUAUCAUUUUGAUACAUGCCACCCACAAUUUUGUACUGCAGAGAGUUGUUUGAGGUAGGAAGGUACCAUUGGGCUGUAGUGUAGCAUAAUCGUAAAUUUUCGGAAAAAUUGUAAACCGUCGGUCUCUGAGAUGGUAUGUUAGCUUCAGAAGGUUAAGAAAAAAUCGUUUGAGCAGAUUGCGAUAAAUGCAGUGUUAAGAAGGGUAGUACUAGAAUAAUUUAAAUGUUAUGUUUACUAUUUUUCUUUGUUUCUAAUAAAAUUAUUCAUUGUCUUUUUUUACCACACCUCUUAGAAGUAUAA